rnacentral:rRNA from 1 species
GGUGAACGCUGGCGGUAGGCCUAACACAUGCAAGUCGAACGGCAGGACAGUAAGAGCUUGCUCUUACGGGUGGCGAGUGGCGGAUGGGUGAGGAAUACAUCGCAAUCUACUUUUUCGUGGGGGAUAACGUAGGGAAACUUACGCUAAUAGCGCAUACGUCCUACGGGUUAAUGCAGGAGAUCUUUGGGCCUUGGGUGAUUUAAUGAGCUGGUGUCGGAUUAGCUAGUUGGCGGGGUAAAGGCUCACCAAGGCGACGAUGCGUAGCUGGUCUGAGAGGGUGAUCGGCCACACUGGAACUGAGACACGGUCCAGACUCCUACGGGAGGCAGCAGUGGGGAAUAGUGGACAAUGGGCGCAAGCUUGAUCCAGCCACGCCGCGUGGGUGAAGAAGGCCUUCGGGUUGUAAAGCGCUUUUGUUGGGGAAGAAAAGCUGCGGGAGAAAACACGGCUGUUCUGACGGUACCCAAAGAAUAAGCACCGGCUAACUACGUG